UAUCAAAGACCAAUAGGCCGAAUUGAGGCCCAAUUUCGACGAACACCCUCUCUCUCUCUCUCUCUCUCUCUCUCUCUCUCACGCGAGAGAAGGCGCCUCUGCACUACUCUGUCCUUAAUCCUAAUCCUAACCCACCAUCAAUGGCGGCGCUUAGAACCCUAACGACCGCUCGGAGCUCCUCCGCGUCCUCCUCGUCGCAGUCGUCUCCAUCCCUCUCCCUCUUCCUCCUCCUCCUCGUCCGGUGCCGCCGCUUCUCCGCCUCCUCUCCGGCGGCGGCGCCGCCUCCUACGCCGACGCCGUUCAUGGCGCAGUAUCUGGUGGAUCGCGUCGGCUUCCCCCCCGACAAGGCCCUCUACGCCGCGUCCCGCUCCCUCUCCGGCCUCUCCUCCCCGGCCCGACCCGACGCCGUCGUCUCCUUCCUCCGCGGGAGCGCCUCCCUCUCCCCUCCCCAGAUCCUCCGCUUCGUCCGCUGCCGCCCCUCCAUCCUCGCCGCCGACGUCCCCUCCAACCUCCUCCCCAAGCUCUCCCUCUUCCGCUCGCUCCUCCCCGGCGCCGGCGCCGGCGCCGGAGCCGCAGAAGCCCCCAGCGAGCUCGCGGCGCUCGUCACCGCGUGCGCCUCCGCCUUCGGCUACAGCGCCGCGCGCCUCGCCCGCUCCCUCGCCUUCCUCCGCGACCUCUAUGGCGGCGACGACUGCGGGGUCGUCUUCGCCCUCCGCCGCUGCCCCCGCCUCCUCUCCAACGACCCCGACCGCGUCCUCUCACGCAACCUCGCCGCCGUCCGCUACCUCUACGGCAGCGGCCGCGACCCUCUGCCGCUCAUCAAGAAGGCCCCCGUCCUCCUCACCAGCUCCCCGGAGCGCAUCGCCCUCCUCUUCCGCGCCGCCGAGGAGGUGAUCGGGGUCGGCCCCGAAUCCGACUUGUUCCCCGACGCCAUCGGCGCCGUCGCCCCGCUAAGCCCCGAGACCUUCUCCAACAGGGUCGGGAUGCUCCGGUCCUACGGCUUGGAAAACACCGAUAUCCAAUUCCUGUUCCGGCACUCCCCAAUAACGUUUCGGCUUAAGGAUCACAACCUCAAAGCGAAGCUCGAUUUCUUCAUCGGAGCUGUCGGGUUCACCCCCAGAGACAUUCUAAACAAUUGGCAGAUAAGCUUCAGCCUGGAUGGGAGGCUAAGGCCGCGGUACAAUCUGGUGAGGGGGUUGCAAUCCAAAGGAUUGGUGCCUCAAGAUGUCAAUUUCACAAAAGUUUUCAUGAUGGCCGUGGAGAGAUUCAACCAGGAGUAUGUGCACAAGUUCGUGACCAGCGAGGGCUCUAACCUUGUUCGGUCUUACAUGAGUAGCCCAGCGUUUGGGAAGGAAAUGUCGGAGAACGGCUCUGAUUCUUCACACUCCGAGUAGCAAAAUUCGAUCUUUUAUUAAGUAGAAGAUUUUGGCAAUCGGGUGAGUCCGGUUACUGGAACAACAAGUCGUAUGCUGAAUCGCUGAUAAGUUGGAUUGAAUGCUGAACAGGAUUGACCCAUAAGUAUAAUGUUUGUCUAUUCUCAGGUCUUAAUUAUAUAUCGGUCAUUUUCGAGAUUGUGCUUUCCAACUGCACAAGCAGGCUCCAUUUACAGUACGAAACUUUGAUUAGGAGAAGCCAAGGACUUGUAGCAGAAUGCGAGUCUUUACUGCAUAACCUCUCCAUUAAAGGAAAAAGAUUCCUCCCCCCUUCAAUUGCCUUGCAUGGUUGGAUUGUACAGAAACCAUUUGCAGGGGGGAACAAUCAGUGCCAUGGGCUUUAAAUGGCACGAUUGCGACUGAUAACAAUUUUAAUGGGGCCGAGACAAAAGUGCUUCUCUUACUUGCCCGAGUUGUUGGUCCAGUCCUUUGGACCAGUCAUGGAAAAAUCAGAGUAGAAGCUUUUUUUACAUGUUACUAAAAGAUUGCCUGUGCAGUGAGGCAUAUUGAAUUUAUUAGGGUGGGGACAUAAUUGUGACGGUCAUUUUGCAAUAUUUACAACUAGAAAUUGGUCAAUAAGUUUUCAUGAUCCGAUGAUGACCGAUGUAGGGGUAAAGAGAAAUAUUUGGACAAUGCUAUGUUUGGGAAGAUUAGAUGCCGUGACCCAAAGGAUGUUCCUGAAAGGAAAAAGGCAUCUUGUGGAUUUCUGUUCAUUUCUAUAUAUGUUCAAUUAAAAGAGAUGUGACAUUCUAACUGUCCCGCAUUAGAUUAGAUGAGAACGAAAUUAUGAUUUGAUGUAUAACAAACUAUGAACCCUAAUAAUAAUGACUGGGUUGAAGUA